GCUGUUGUUUUUAACUGGACCAGCUGCAGGCUCAGGCGCUGGCUGUGAACUGACCCUGGACGUCCUUUGAGUCAGAAUUAUCAAGGAGCAGCAGAAGCCAAAGCAGGAGAUAGGAGGGUUCAGCCUCCUGCAGAGGUUGCAACUCUGUGAGAUCAGAGCAGCUCCUGCCUGCAUGGGCAAGGAAAAAGACCUCAACAAGGUGUUAGAAGACCCAAGACCAAAAACUGGACCAAGAGAAUGUGUUGAGGGGCAGGUGCACAAGCCAUAAGGGCCUGGGCAUUUCUUUGUUCUGGUGACAGAGGCACCAGCUCAAGCUGACCUGCUGUUGUACCACUCUGUUGAAGUAUUUAUUUUUGUAAA